ACUCCUGUAGCCCAAUUGGCAGAGGCGCUGGUUUCAAACGCCAGAGGUUGUGGGUUCGACUCCCACCAGGAGUA
rnacentral:tRNA from 1 species